GACGAACGCUGGCGGCGUGCCUAAUACAUGCAAGUCGAGCGGACGAUUCGAAAGCUUGCUUUUGAAUCGUUAGCGGCGGACGGGUGAGUAACACGUGGGCAACCUGCCCUGUAGACGGGGAUAACACCGAGAAAUCGGUGCUAAUACCGGAUAACACGAAAUGUCGCAUGACGUUUCGUUGAAAGGCGGCGCAAGCUGCCGCUACAGGAUGGGCCCGCGGCGCAUUAGCUAGUUGGUGAGGUAACGGCUCACCAAGGCGACGAUGCGUAGCCGACCUGAGAGGGUGAUAGGCCACACUGGGACUGAGACACGGCCCAGACUCCUACGGGAGGCAGCAGUAGGGAAUCUUCCGCAAUGGACGAAAGUCUGACGGAGCAACGCCGCGUGAGCGAAGAAGGCCUUCGGGUCGUAAAGCUCUGUUGUUAGGGAAGAACAAGUAACGUAGUAACUGACGUUACUAUGACGGUACCUAACGAGAAAGCCACGGCUAACUACGU
rnacentral:rRNA from 1 species